rnacentral:lncRNA from 1 species
CUCUCUGCUUGUAAUCACAUUCAAAACAUGCUCAUGACUCAGUAAUCUGCUUAUGAACGUUGCUGUUCUCUGCAGUAACUCUGCAGACACCCACAUUUGGGGCGGUCUGAAUGUUCACACAGCUUGCAGUUGCCAACACAAUUUUCUAUUCCUUGCUGUUUUUGUCAUUUCAGAAUCUCCCUUCCAUUUUGAAAGCUAUCAGGGUGAACAGGAAACUCAUCAAGUCAAAGUCAGAAGUCACAAGAAGCUAUUCACCACACUGCAAAACCCUGCUAGGCAGGGAUUUGCUGAAGAGAGGUGUCCAUGAGGACAUGCAAGUGGGUCAGAAUGACAAGUUUCUUCAAGCUGAAUUGCAUCAUUUUUUAAAAAUUACCUUCUGGAGAAAGUCUAAGGACAAAAAUACACCUCUGCUAGCAAAGCAAAACUCUCCUAAAAGUUCUUGUGCAGAAUGAACUCUACUUCUGAUUAUUUACCAUUUCUUUGUUUUAUUUUGCCAACGACAGUAUUUCCAUAUCAAUCUAGAGCAUGCUCAUUUUAGCCCUUAAAACUGGGUCAACACACCCUGGAAAUUCACACCAAACUGCAGUUCCUGAGCACAGAUAGGCAGAGUUGUCAAAAUAUUCUCAUCACUGAGUAAAUUUGUGCUUAGAGCAAAACCAACAGCCUGGAAAACACAAGUGCCCUGCAAGCUAUCAAUUAAGCCUUACAUCAGGAUAAACUUGUGUCAAGAGGAAAUUAUUUCCAUUUUACCUGGAGAGAUCCAGCUCUGCUCUGACAUACAGACAAGGACAGCUCAGGGAAGAGUCCACUUGCCUAAAGAAAGGGCAAAUCCUUGCUGUGCUGUUUGAUAAGGUGCUACAGGGAGCUCCUGUACCCUCAGUGGGGUAUGAUUUAACCUGAGCAUUUUCUGAGAUUUCAAAGCAUUCCCAUUCCUCAUCAAAAUGAAAGAAAAAUGCUUUCAGGACGUGCUUUUUGCAAAAGCCACAAAGUGUCCCCAGAGGAACCCAGCACUUCAUGACUGGGGCAGGAAUUUGGUGGCUGAACUCUGCACACAAAGCCCUGGUGUCAGUGGGGAGAUGAAGCAGCUCUGCACAACAACCUGGAUGACAGAAAAUUCACCUUCCUGCAACUCCUUUUCCCCCAGCUGGUCUCUCCUUGCUUGCAGCUUUCUGGGCCCGUGAGCCCUUUAACUCAGAAUAACAAGAUGAAUCAAAAAUACUGAGAUAUAAGUAAAACUGCAGGAAGAACACAACAUAUUUUAAGUUUUUGAAGUUUCUUUCAUUUGCAGCGGCUCAAAUUGGACUUUUUGUCUUUUUUAAAGCUUCUCUUACUGCCUCUAAUUAAAGAAUUAAUUUUUUUUGACUAACAGAUAUAGAAACGUAUUUCAUCAAAUAGUACCUGAACCACAGUUUUUCAUUAACUUUAUCAAAAUUGACAUCUGGUAGUUUGUUUUUUUUCUGAUCUUUGGAACAGAUUUAAGACAAGAAAACCUUUACACGCCAUUCUCCUAACUUCAUCCUUCCUCCAUUUAAGAUGUAUUUUAUGAGAUUGAUUUUUCAAGGCAUCACAUUGCCCCACCUUUAUCUGCUGCCCUUUCCUUUCAUUUCUCCUUUUGCAUCUUUUUCAAAGCAACUGAAGAAAAUUUAACCUUUACUGUGCAGCAUUUUGCCAGCCAAAUGAGGCAGGAGAAAUCAAGAUCUACCUUGUUUUUCCCAUCCAAGUACCUAACGAAUAUUUUGGUCCUAAGAGGAGUCUGAACUAACAGACAUGAAAUUUGCUCAAAUGUAUUUUUUCCAGUCUGGCCCUAAUUCAGUGUUAUUGUACAUGGCCUCCACUCCCCAAACAGCCCUGCCACACAUUUCUGGUUGAAACCCACACUGCUCUGUCUUAGACUCCAGUGGGAUUUAAUGAACAGGGAAAUAUCCCUUUAGAAACACCCCAUGGCUCUCAGGCUACUGAAUGGGGUAAAUGUAAAUUGAACCUGGAGAUUAUAUGAUUUUUUGAAAAACACAAUAGAUGAACCUAAUUUCCAACCAGAUUUUCUAAUAAGACACACCUUUCCCUUCCAGUUCUGGUACUGCCAAUAUUGUGCUGCUUCUCACAGUAUGACAGCACACAGAGUGGAUGGGUCACAAGAGUUCAGUCUUGAAUUUGUAGGAAAAAUGAUGCUGUACAUAUUUUGCAGCUCUUGUCUGUGCUAAACUCUCCAUCUUGAGAUAUGCAACAUUUACCAGCUUACAUAUUUACAUUUCCCACUUUGAAUGCCCAUUCACCUUCUGCUUUGAACUGUUUCAGGGUCUGUUAACAAGGGAAGAUAGAGCUGCUCAGAAAAAUAAAUUACUUUUUAAAAAAUAUCUCA